rnacentral:rRNA from 1 species
GAUUAACGCUGGCGGCGUGCCUAACACAUGCAAGUCGAACGAGGGUAGCAAUACCUAGUGGCAGACGGGUGAGUAACGCGUGGUCAACCUACCGUUGAGUGGGGGAUAACUAGCCGAAAGGUUAGCUAAUACCGCAUACGUCUCCGAGUGGCAUCACUUGGCGAAUAAAAGGAGCAAUCCGCUCGAUGACGGGACCGCGU